GGGGAUUUCUCCCUUACUCAAGCAGCAAGGAGAUGGCCUAGGAGUGUCCCUGGCACCCAGCCUGAACCCUACUGAGCCUCAGGGCCAGGCACGGUGGCUCAAGGCUGUAAUCCCAGCACUGUGGGAGGCCGAGGCGGGCGGAUCACGAGGUCAGGAGAUCAAGACCAUCCUGGCUAACACGGUGAAACCCCAUCUCUACUAAGAAUACAAAAAAAUUAGCCAGGAGCUCAGCGUCUUCCUCAGCAGCACUUCCAUGUCAUCUGCCCCGUGAAAUCAGCCUAACGCCGUUUCUCAAUGACGCGGAUCGCCCUAGACCACCGCAACCUUCCGGAAGCUCUCUCAGCUCAGUUCCCAUUCUCCCACCAUCUCUUGGUUCUCCUUCUACCUCACCGGUUGCUAGUCCUCCGCUUCGCAGCUGAAAAUGUGCCCGGGGCCUACCGUGGGCCUAGCCAGGCCUGCUUACGCAGUGCAGUUUCCCAUGAAUAAUGCCCAGUCAUUAUCACAUAACCUGUGGCAAGCCAGCAAGAUGGCCCUGGUGACAGAAAAAGAAACUGCACUAGGACCUGAAUGUAGAUCUAAGUCAUGUUCCUUACUAACAGCACGUUUUACAACCACGCGUUAAAGAAACAUCUGACUCACAACAAAAUUUUAAAGGGUUUAUUUGAGUGAAAAGCAAUUUAUGAAUUGGGGAACACCUGACUGAAAGAGCUUUAGUAUUCCAGAGACAAAACAUCAAAUGCAAGUUUUUACUGGGAAAAUGUAGAAGCACAAUAAAGAAAUUAUUUGAUUGGUUACAGUUA